CUAAAAGCAAAGCGUGGGAGAAGUAGCAGAUUACAAAAUUUGUACAGAGAGUCGUUUAUGGUGAGAAGCGACAUAAAAAUUUAAAAGGAUUUGCGAAAUGGACCCACAAGCUUCAGACUGAAAGGGUAUAAAUAGUCCGAGUAAGUUUUGACGGACUUUUCCUCCGUAAAAAGGAAAAGUGUAUCGGUGUAUAGUUAAUUUAUAUUGCCCGUACUCUGCAGAGUAGGAUUUUUCUAAAUAAAAAUCCUAUUAGAGUGGCACCACGGAAAUUAACCUUUCGUCUCUUGG
rnacentral:ncRNA from 1 species